rnacentral:rRNA from 1 species
AUUGAACGCUGGCGGCAUGCCUAACACAUGCAAGUCGAGCGGCUGAAGGGAUCUUUCCCCUUGGUUCCGCGUCGGGCGGGUGUGUAUUGUCUAUGAAUCUGCCUGGUGGUGGGGGAUAACGUCCGGAGACGGCCGCUAAUAUCGCAUACGUCCUGUGCGAGAAAGAGCGGGAUCCUCGGACCUCACGCUAUCAGAUGAUCCUAGGGCGGAUUAGCUAGUUGGUGGGGUAAAGGCCUACCAAGGCGACGAUCCGUAUCUGGUCUGAGAGGAUGAUCAGACACACUGGAACUGAGACACGGUCCAGACUCCUACGGGAGGCAGCAGUGGGGAAUAUUGGACAAUGGGCGAAAGCCUGAUCCAGCCAUGCCGCGUGUGUGAAGAAGGUCUUCGGAUUGUAAAGCACUUUAGGUUGGGAGGAAGGGCAGUAAGUUAAUACCUUCCUGUUUUGACGUUACCAACAGAAUAAGCACCGGCUAACUUCGUG